rnacentral:rRNA from 1 species
GACGAACGCUGGCGGCAUGCCUAAUACAUGCAAGUCGAGCGAACAGAUGAAGUGCUUGCACUUCUGACGUUAGCGGCGAACGGGUGAGUAACACGUAAGGAAUCUACCUAUAAGCGGGGGAUAACAUUCGGAAACGGGUGCUAAUACCGCAUAAUAUCUUCUUCCGCAUGGAAGAAGAUUGAAAGACGGCUCUGCUGUCACUUAUAGAUGACCUUGCGGUGCAUUAGUUGGUUGGUGGGGUAAUGGCCUACCAAGACAAUGAUGCAGAGCCGAGCUGAGAGGGGGAUCGGCCACAUUGGGACUGAGACACGGCACAAACUCCGACGGGAGGCAGCAGUAGGGAAUCUUACGCAAUGGGCGAAAGCCUGACGGAGCAAUGCCGCGUGAGUGAAGAAGGCCUUCGGGUCGUAAAACUCUGUUAUAAGAGAAGAACAAAUUGUAGAGUAACUGCUACAGUCUUGACGGUAUCUUAUCAGAAAGCCACGGCUAACUACGUGCCAGCAGCCGCAGUAA